GAAUAUGAAGCGAUUUAUUGCAAUUAGUUUCGACCUAAUUUUAGGUAACAUACCCUUAUUCU
rnacentral:tRNA from 1 species